rnacentral:rRNA from 1 species
UACGUAGGGGGCAAGCGUUGUCCGGAUUUAUUGGGCGUAAAGAGCGUGUAGGCGGCCAGGUAGGUCCGUUGUGAAAACUCGAGGCUUAACCUCGAGCUGUCGGCGGAAACCAUUUGGCUAGAGUCCGGAAGAGGAGAAUGGAAUUCCCGGUGUAGCGGUGAAAUGCGCAGAUAUCGGGAAGAACACCCGUGGCGAAGGCGGUUCUCUGGGACGGUACUGGACGCUG